rnacentral:rRNA from 1 species
GACGAAGGGGGCUAGCGUUGUUCGGAAUUACUGGGCGUAAAGCGAGUGUAGGUGGUUGCCCAAGUUGGAUGUGAAAGCCUUGAGCUCAACUCAAGAAAUGCAUUCAGGACUGGGUGACUAGAGUCCGGAAGAGGAGAGUGGAAUUCCUGGUGUAGCGGUGAAAUGCGCAGAUAUCAGGAAGAACACCCGUGGCGAAGGCGGCUCUCUGGGACGGUACUGACGCUGAGACGCGAAAAGCGUGGGGAGCGAACAGG